rnacentral:rRNA from 1 species
ACAUGCAAGUCGAGCGGACAGAAGGGAGCUUGCUCCCGGAUGUUAGCGGCGGACGGGUGAGUAACACGUGGGUAACCUGCCUGUAAGACUGGGAUAACUCCGGGAAACCGGAGCUAAUACCGGAUAGUUCCUUGAACCGCAUGGUUCAAGGAUGAAAGACGGUUUCGGCUGUCACUUACAGAUGGACCCGCGGCGCAUUAGCUAGUUGGUGAGGUAACGGCUCACCAAGGCGACGAUGCGUAGCCGACCUGAGAGGGUGAUCGGCCACACUGGGACUGAGACACGGCCCAGACUCCUACGGGAGGCAGCAGUAGGGAAUCUUCCGCAAUGGACGAAAGUCUGACGGAGCAACGCCGCGUGAGUGAUGAAGGUUUUCGGAUCGUAAAGCUCUGUUGUUAGGGAAGAACAAGUGCAAGAGUAACUGCUUGCACCUUGACGGUACCUAACCAGAAAGCCACGGCUAACUACGUGCCAGCAGCCGCGGUAAUACGUAGGUGGCAAGCGUUGUCCGGAAUUAUUGGGCGUAAAGGGCUCGCAGGCGGUUUCUUAAGUCUGAUGUGAAAGCCCCCGGCUCAACCGGGGAGGGUCAUUGGAAACUGGGAAACUUGAGUGCAGAAGAGGAGAGUGGAAUUCCACGUGUAGCGGUGAAAUGCGUAGAGAUGUGGAGGAACACCAGUGGCGAAGGCGACUCUCUGGUCUGUAACUGACGCUGAGGAGCGANAGCGUGGGGAGCGAACAGGAUUNNAUACCCUGGNNGUCCACGCCGU